GCGGAUAUGAUGAAAUGGCAGACAUGUCAGGUUUAGGUUCUGAUGAAGCGAUUCGUGGGGGUUCGAGUCCCUCUAUCCGCA
rnacentral:tRNA from 1 species